rnacentral:rRNA from 1 species
UACGUAGGGGGCAAGCGUUGUCCGGAUUCACUGGGUGUAAAGGGCGCGUAGGCGGCUAAAUAAGUCAGUGGUGAAAUCCUGCGGCUCAACUGCAGAACUGCCAUUGAUACUGUAUAGCUUGAGUGCGGAAGAGAGAGACGGAAUUCCAGGUGUAGUGGUGAAAUACGUAGAUAUCUGGAAGAACACCAGUUGCGAAGGCGGUCUCUUGGUCCGUGACUGACGCUGAGGCGCGAAAGCGUGGGUAGCGAACAGG